rnacentral:rRNA from 1 species
AUUGAACGCUGGCGGCAUGCCUUACACAUGCAAGUCGAACGGCAACACGGGAGCAAUCCUGGUGGCGAGUGGCGAACGGGUGAGUAAUAUAUCGGAACGUGCCCAGUCGUGGGGGAUAACGCAGCGAAAGCUGUGCUAAUACCGCAUACGAUCUACGGAUGAAAGCGGGGGAUCGCAAGACCUCGCGCGAUUGGAGCGGCCGAUAUCAGAUUAGCUAGUUGGUGAGGUAAAGGCUCACCAAGGCGACGAUCUGUAGCUGGUCUGAGAGGACGACCAGCCACACUGGAACUGAGACACGGUCCAGACUCCUACGGGAGGCAGCAGUGGGGAAUUUUGGACAAUGGGCGCAAGCCUGAUCCAGCACUGCCGCGUGCAGGAUGAAGGCGUUCGGGUUGUAAACUACUUUUGUACGGAACGAAACGGCGAGCUCUAAUACAGUUUGCUAAUGACGGUACCGUAAGAAUAAGCACCGGCUAACUACGUGCCAGCCGCCGCCGUAAAAC